ACCAGAAUUGAAGAAGCAGAAACACUCAACAAAGUCCAACUGCUAUCAGAAACUAAGAAUAAGAACCUGAAAUAAUAUUAAAAAUGAGAGGUGAGUUCAACCAACUCAGUGAGGGAAUAACAUUUAAUAUACAUUUCAGAUAUUUCAGAUAUUAAUAAUUUGCAAGAUGAUUUAUCUUGAUAUACAUAUACAUAUACUUACUAAACAUAUUAUCAUAACGUAGUGAAUUACAUAUCAGAGAUCAGAUGACACCCGAAGGUGACCAGAUGACACCCGUCGGUGACCAGAUGACACCCGUCGGUGACCACUGUGGGAUGAUCAAUCACCACAGGCUGAUGCCUCUCUCACCAGCUAGGUAUACAGAAUACUAUGUGCACACAGGCUAACUAUUCUCCGUUAGCAUGGAGUUACUGACAAGUCCCAUAUCAAGGCAUAAUAGAUAUUCACAGAAUCAUCAAAGAAACGUAUAUCAUAUCAAAUAGAAUUUACUUUAUCAGAUUGCGAGUGCAAAUUCAAGAAUAAAUGAGUACUCGGAAAAUAAAGCAACAUAUAUAAAUAUUCAAGAAAUUUACUAGUUGUACUCAUUGUAUAAUCAACAUACAUAUUUAUUUAUAUUAUAUGCAUAUUAAAGAUUAUUCCACUCACCCGGAAAAUACAGAACUAAAAGGAAUGUCGGACGAAAGAUCCAAAAAUCCGAUUAAGGAUCGUUAGGAGAACCUACAAUAAAUAUAUGAAAUAUACUCAAAAACAGAUCAAACAAAAUAUCCCAAUGCAUAAAAUUUCUGUCCAGAACCUCAAUUUAUGCCCCAGGGACCAAUCUGUAAAAUUUCCAAAGUUCGGGGACUAAACUGCAAUUUCCGCAAAUUGAGGGACCAAACUGAAUUUUCGUCAUCUUCAACCUCAAACCCAGAAUUUCAACAGAUCACCUACUAUUAGUUCCAGAUUUAUACCUCAACUUCAUCAUUCAAUUCAACCAUAACUCAAAAUCAUCAUAUUUCUCUACAAUCUCUCCAAUUCAACUAAAUAAUCAAAUACCCAUAUCAAUCAACCCCUUAAUUCAACUAAUUCAUCAAUAAACUCAAAAUUCAAAACUCUAAAAUUAAUCAAAAACCGAAAUUUAAAGCUAAAGAAAACAUAUUAUACAUAUUCAAGCAUAAUUCUUACCCUUUUACUUGUUUUCUUCAACCUUUUCCUUUUUCCCUUAUUUUCCCCUCUUUUCUCUUCUUCUUCUUCUUCCUCUCUUCUCUCCUGCCGG
rnacentral:lncRNA from 1 species